GCUAUUUAUAGAGUGGCGCACGGGUGAGUAACGCGUGGGAACCUGCCUUUUUCUGCGGGAUAACGGUUGGAAACGACCGCUAAUACCGCAUACGCCCUACGGGGGAAAGGUCCGCCGGAAAAAGAGGGGCCCGCGUCUGAUUAGCUUGUUGGUAGGGUAAUGGCCUACCAAGGCGACGAUCAGUAGCUGGUCUGAGAGGAUGAUCAGCCACACUGGGACUGAGACACGGCCCAGACUCCUACGGGAGGCAGCAGUGGGGAAUAUUGGACAAUGGGGGCAACCCUGAUCCAGCAAUGCCGCGUGUGUGAUGAAGGCCUUAGGGUUGUAAAGCACUUUCACUGGUGAAGAUGAUGACGGUAACCAGAGAAGAAGCCCCGGCUAACUUCGUGCCAGCAGCCGCGGUAAUACGAAGGGGGCGAGCGUUGUUCGGAAUUACUGGGCGUAAAGGGCGCGUAGGCGGUCUUUUAAGUUAGGCGUGAAAGCCCCGGGCUCAACCCGGGAACUGCGCUUAAUACUGGAAGACUAGAAAAC
rnacentral:rRNA from 1 species